AAAGAAACUGCGAGCUCUCGGGUGGAGGGCAGCUUAUACGGGAAGCCUGGACUUGACCAUCGCCAGGGAGGCAUACUGACAUUCGAGCUGCCUUCCAUCUAUUCAAGGGCACGCUUCCUCCGUCUGUGGGGGGAGAAGGUGCCCCCUCAGAGGCUGUACGAUUCGAAGUCUCCGGCCUGAGAAGUUUCGAAUUUCUCCUUGCCAAGGUCGGGCCACUACAGGUGGGAGACUGCGAGCCCCGAGCGAAAGCUUGGCUUCACGCCCGCCCGGGGCAGCCGCCGCGGCUCGUCCCCUCCAGGCCUGGGCACCGCCGUGGG
rnacentral:lncRNA from 1 species